rnacentral:rRNA from 1 species
AUUUAAAGUCUAGCCUGCCCACUGAAAUUAAUUUUAAUGGCCGCAGUAUUUUGACUGUGCAAAGGUAGCAUAAUCAUUAGUUUUUUAAUUGAAAGCUUGUAUGAAAGGUUGGACGAGGUAAAAUCUGUCUCUAUUUAAUUUAUUUUAGAAUUUAAUUUUUAAGUUAAAAAGCUUAAAUUUUAUUAAAAGACGAGAAGACCCUAUAGAUCUUUAUAAUUUUUGUUAUAAAUUUAAUUAUGAAUUAUUUAGAAUUUAUAAUAUAAAUUAUUUUAUUGGGGUAAUAAAAAGAUUAAAAUAAUUCUUUUUUAUUUUUAACAUUAAUUUAUGAAUUUAAUGAUCCAAUUUUAUUGAUUAUAAGAUUAAGUUACCUUAGGGAUAACAGCGUAAUUUUUUUAGAGAGUUCAUAUCGAUAAAAAAGUUUGCGACCUCGAUGUUGGAUUAAAGAUUAGUUUAGGUGUAGAAGUUUAAAUUUUUGGUCUGUUCGACCAUUAAAUCUUUACAUGAUCUGAGUUCAGACCGGCGUAAGCCAGGUCGGUUUCUAUCUUUAAUAAUUUUAAAAUAUUUUAGUACGAAAGGACCAAAUAUUUAAUAUAUUUAUAUUUUAUUUUUUGAAUAUUAUUAAAUUGUUUUGGCAGAUUAGUGUAAUGAAUUUAGAAUUCAUAAAUGUAAUUAUUUUUACAAACAAUACUUGUUUUAUAUAGAUUUAAUUUUUUCUUUAAUUUGUAUAUUUUUAUUAAUUAUUUGUGUUUUAGUUGGGGUAGCAUUUUUAAUUUUAUUAGAACGAAAAG